rnacentral:rRNA from 1 species
UGGGGAAUUUUGGACAAUGGGCGCAAGCCUGAUCCAGCCAUGCCGCGUGUGUGAAGAAGGCCUUUUGGUUGUAAAGCACUUUAAGCGAGGAGGAGGCUACUUGGAUUAAUACUCUAGGAUAGUGGACGUUACUCGCAGAAUAAGCACCGGCUAACUCUGUGCCAGCAGCCGCGGUAAUACAGAGGGUGCGAGCGUUAAUCGGAUUUACUGGGCGUAAAGCGUGCGUAGGCGGCUUCUUAAGUCGGAUGUGAAAUCCCUGAGCUUAACUUAGGAAUUGCAUUAGAUACUGGGAAGCUAGAGUAUGGGAGAGGAUGGUAGAAUUCCAGGUGUAGCGGUGAAAUGCGUAGAGAUCUGGAGGAAUACCGAUGGCGAAGGCAGCCAUCUGGCCUAAUACUGACGCUGAGGUACGAAAGCAUGGGGAGCAAACAGG